AGGAUGAACGCUGGCGGCGUGCCUAACACAUGCAAGUCGAACGUCCUGUCUCGCAAGAGGCAGGGAGUGGCGGACGGGUGAGUACCACGUGGGUUAUCUACCGUGAGGUGGGGAAUACCGGCGAGAAAUCGCCGACAAGACCGCAUAGCCUCGGUGCAAGCCGAGAAAAGCUUUCUCGAGAGAGGGAGCGCCACACGAGGAGCCUGCGCCCGAUUAGCUAGCUGGUGGAGUAACGGUUCACCAGGGCGACGAUCGGUAGCUGGUCUGAGAGGACGAUCAGCCACACUGGGAUUGAGAACGGCCCAGACUCCUACGGGGGGCAGCAGUGAGGAAUUUUCGUCAAUGGGGCAACCCUGAACGAGCAACGCCGCGUGCAGGAAGAAGGUUUUCGGAUCGUAAACUGCUUUUCGUCGGGGAAGAGAACGGACGGUACCCGAGGAAUCGAGCCCCGGCUAACUACGUGCCAGCAGCCGC
rnacentral:rRNA from 1 species